ACAAUUAUCUUGUGUUAAGGAUCUCAAAGAUUUCAUGAGACAAGCUGGGGAAGUAACGUUUGCGGAUGCACACCGACCUAAAUUAAAUGAAGGGGUGGUUGAGUUUGCCUCUUAUGGUGACUUAAAGAAUGCUAUUGAAAAACUUUCUGGAAAGGAAAUAAAUGGGAGAAAAAUAAAAUUAAUUGAAGGCAGCAAAAGGCACAGUAGGUCAAGAAGCAGGUCUCGAUCCCGGACCAGAAGUUCUUCUAGGUCUCGUAGCCGAUCCCGUUCCCGUAGUCGCAAAUCUUACAGCCGGUCAAGAAGCAGGAGCAGGAGCCGGAGCCGGAGCAAGUCCCGUUCUGUUAGUAGGUCUCCCGUGCCUGAGAAGAGCCAGAAACGUGGUUCUUCAAGUAGAUCUAAGUCUCCAGCAUCUGUGGAUCGCCAGAGGUCCCGGUCCCGAUCAAGGUCCAGAUCAGUUGACAGUGGCAAUUAAACUGUAAAUAACUUGCCCUGGGGGCCUUUUUUUAAAAAACAAAAACCACAAAAAUUCCCAAACCAUACUUGCUAAAAAUUCUGGGUCAAGGGUGUCCUCCACUCUUUAACAGCUGCAGGACAGGCACAUUAAAGCAGCUGUUUGUUAUUGAUAAUAAAAUACUAUAAAACUA
rnacentral:sRNA from 1 species